rnacentral:lncRNA from 1 species
UUUUCAGACCAGAUCACUACAGCCGUACUAGCAGGUGUAGUCUUGAUCUUACUCAUUUUAACAUUAGUGUUUUGUAUUUUUCAGACCAGAUCACUACAGCCGUACUAGCAGGUGUAAUCUUGAUCUUACUUGUUAUCCUGGUUGUGGUGUUUAUUCGGAUGAGGAAGAUACAAGUGUCAUACAGAAACUUUAGAUGACCAACUGCAGAAUAUGAAUAUGUACAGCUACAAUAUUAUGAUGAUUAUUCUGACUGAUUACACUAUUACUGUACACCAGAUAUUUCUAUUAAUUGACACCCAAUAGUUGCUCAAUUCAACAAUAGUAUUACAUAACUGUCAACAUGGUAUACAGUUGAUUAAUAUGUCAUAUUAUUUUUCUAUGCUUAACACACAGUUACAACACUAUCUGGUGUACAGGGAUACACUUUGAAUGUCACAAAUAUACAAUUACAUUAUUACAAUAUUACAAUGAUUUUUGAAGCCAGAAUAUUUAUCAUUUAUCACAUACAUAUAUUCAACAAGCCUUUCUUUCUCAGGAAUUAUUUAUUACACCCCCACUCUCAAAAUGAGGACUAUAUUGCAUUCAUUUUGUUCGUCCAUCCACGUUCAUCAAGCAUGCCAACAGUAAUAAGUUGUAAUGAAUUGUAAAUGUGUGCGCUCUUUUCUGAUCUGUGCAAUCUUAAAAAAUAAUCAAUAAUGCUGAUAUAAUUGUAAUUUUCCUCAAGCUGAAGUAUUGAAUUGAAUGAUGUGAUUUCAAACUUCACAUAGUUUUUGAGAAUCGUAGUUGGAGGUCUUUGUAUUCAUUUAACAAUCAGCAUUAACAUUCACUGUUAUUUAACCUUAAUCCUAGAAAAAAAUUCUUAAUCAAUAGCACAUUUAUUACGAUAUUUUGCAAUGCUUUUUAAACUAUUUAUUAUAGGGACAAGCUUUAACUACAUGUCUUUCAAAAGUAAAACACUUUUUUUUUGCUUUCUUGCUUGAAAAUAAGAACUAACAGAAAACACUAAACUUUACUAAGCCUCCAUAUAUGAUUUAUAAAAAGGAAUGUUUUUGUAUAUAUGUAAAAAUUUAAUUUAUAUUAUUAUAAGUUCGUAUUUUCUUCAGAAUUGCUCAAAAUUUGUCUCAUGUUUUUUGUAGAUAUGCAGAUAUAUUUUUAACAUUUGUACAUAUAAAUAUAUAUAUAUAUGAUCAAAAUUGUGUGUCAUUCCAAAGAGCAAAACUUUUAGCCUUGUAUGUAUGUGGUAAUGUAUUUUAUUGUAAAUUCACAAUUUAUGUACAUGUAUUAAUCAAAUACAAAAAAUAAAAACUUUACAGC